rnacentral:rRNA from 1 species
GAUAACGGCGUCGAGCGGCGGACGGGUGAGUAAUGCCUAGGAAAUUGCCCUGAUGUGGGGGAUAACCAUUGGAAACGAUGGCUAAUACCGCAUGAUGCCUACGGGCCAAAGAGGGGGACCUUCGGGCCUCUCGCGUCAGGAUAUGCCUAGGUGGGAUUAGCUAGUUGGUGAGGUAAGGGCUCACCAAGGCGACGAUCCCUAGCUGGUCUGAGAGGAUGAUCAGCCACACUGGAACUGAGACACGGUCCAGACUCCUACGGGAGGCAGCAGUGGGGAAUAUUGCACAAUGGGCGCAAGCCUGAUGCAGCCAUGCCGCGUGUGUGAAGAAGGCCUUCGGGUUGUAAAGCACUUUCAGUCGUGAGGAAGGUGGUGUAGUUAAUAGCUGCAUCAUUUGACGUUAGCGACAGAAGAAGCACCGGCUAACUCCGUGCCAGCAGCCGCGGUAAUACGGAGGGUGCGAGCGUUAAUCGGAAUUACUGGGCGUAAAGCGCAUGCAGGUGGUUUGUUAAGUCAGAUGUGAAAGCCCGGGGCUCAACCUCGGAAUUGCAUUUGAAACUGGCAGACUAGAGUACUGUAGAGGGGGGUAGAAUUUCAGGUGUAGCGGUGAAAUGCGUAGAGAUCUGAAGGAAUACCGGUGGCGAAGGCGGCCCCCUGGACAGAUACUGACACUCAGAUGCGAAAGCGUGGGGAGCAAACAGGAUUAGAUACCCUGGUAGUCCACGCCGUAAACGAUGUCUACUUGGAGGUUGUGGCCUUGAGCCGUGGCUUUCGGAGCUAACGCGUUAAGUAGACCGCCUGGGGAGUACGGUCGCAAGAUUAAAACUCAAAUGAAUUGACGGGGGCCCGCACAAGCGGUGGAGCAUGUGGUUUAAUUCGAUGCAACGCGAAGAAC